rnacentral:lncRNA from 1 species
GUGGUUGUGUGUACUUUUCCGCAGUCACAAAAUGUAAUAGUGAUUUAUCUAAAGUUCCUUAGGAUCGUGCUAUACCCGUUUGCAACCAAUGAUUUCCAAACUUCCCUGCUGGCAUUAGAGGCUGCUGCCAAGCCCUCAGAUGCAUCCACCCAAUGGGAGUCUUUCAUGCUCUCCCCAGCCUCGCAGAUCGAAACUAGAUCUAGUUUAGUCUAAGUGUAGCUCCAGCGAUUACUNAUCUCUCCUGGUUUUAACUGAUAAUAUGAGACAGCAGUCUAAACAUGAAGCCAGCCAGGCUACCCGGGAGUCGCAGCCGCCAGCAUACUUCUGCCCUAGCAAUGCAUCAGCGCCUGGAACCCAAAGCAGGGCGGAGACAGCAGAUGAACGCUGCUGCCUGCAGCAGAGCUUUGUUAGCAUGCAGGGUAUUUGGUUGGUAUUGGCGUCUUUUUUUCCCCCUCUCUCCUCCUCCCUCUGCCCCGGAACAGCCUGCCCCGCUCACAGGGAGAGAGCCUGUCUGUGUGCCGCCGCCCCACUCAGAGCCCGCCCCUUUUUUCUUCGCCCUGGCCUUCCGUGUGGAACAAGCCGGGCACGUGCGCUGCGACGCUGGCUUUCCUGCCUGCCUGCCAGGGGCGAGGCUGCUGCUACCUUUCUCGGCCACAGCCGCUUGCCUGCUCCGUUUCUCUCGGCGAGCGCGGGCGGUUUUUAUUUUCUAUUUUUUGCCUGCUCGAAUAGAGAACCUGAAGUUGCUACAGAAGCACUUUGUAUCAAGAUUGCAGGUAGGCUGAUUUUUUUUUCCCGGGAACUAGACAGAUGGACAUUCCUCAUAUAGAAGGAUGUAACAAGUGAGACCUCCAAGGUCCUGUACCCUUUCCCCUUUAAUUGUACCUAAUUGAUUACUGAAAGUUAACCAUGUAGCAAAAAUCUGUAUAACAAAUCUUUACUUUUUAACAUAUUCAACAAAUGAGUGGUAUCAAGAAUCAGCAGGGAAAUGAGUUUGCUGAGGAUAGCAAAUUAGGUAGCUAACACCAUUUCUUAUGGUAAAUACUUCCUUUUGUCUGUUGUGGUUCUUCAGCGCUUCAGCUACAGUGGAUGUCCCUGGCUCUGAUAUUUUGGGAAAGAAAUGUCUCCCUGUCCACACUAUACAUAAUUUAAUUCACCUCUGUCAUAUCUCCUCUCACUUGCAUCUUUCCAAACUAAAAGCCUCAAAUAUUUCAACCUUUCCUUGUAGAAAAGCUUCUUUAGUCUCUUGGUCAUUUUAUUGGCCUUUUCUGUUUCUUCAGAAUCCCUUGUAUUUCUGCUGCUCCACAUAAUUUGGUGCAGUAAAUUAUAUAACCAGGAAUAGUAAAAUGAGUGCAGAAGAAAAAGACAAGCAAAACUCAAUCCUGAUUCAUAUACAACCUAUAAUUACAUAGAUUGAAAAUGCUACAUAUGAAAACUUUAUGUCAGGAAGACAUCCAAUGUUGCUAUUGUUCUGAUAGGCUCUCUGUCCUCUUUUCUGUAUCGUGUCAAGCUAACUGUUGUAUGCUUCAUAAUACUGCUGUUCUUAUUGAAAGAUCCGUAUAAGUUCUACUCUUAUAGGGGAACAGUGUUUUAGUUGUUCGUCUAGAUUGUCUGAAAAAACCCUGUGGUCUCAGUCUGGUCAAUAAGAGAGGAAGAUUAAGGCUGUAGUUGCACAUCAGUAGACUGGUCCAUGGUCUGGUCUAUGGACCUCUCCUCUGCACCUGGUGCAGUUUAAAGGUGACCUCACUUCCCUCUUAGUACUCCCUGGCUCUUUCUGCACUUGGCCUUAUUGUGGAUUAUAUCUCAGAAUAGGGACCUGCCAUCUGCAU